rnacentral:misc_RNA from 1 species
GAUGAAGAACGUAGCGAAAUGCGAUAAGUAAUGUGAAUUGCAGAAUUCAGUGAAUCAUCGAAUCUUUGAACGCAUCUUGCGCUCCUUGGUAUUCUGAGGAGCAUGCCUGUUUGAGUGUCAUUAAAUUCUCAACUACACUGACUUUGAAUUGGUGUGGCUUGGAUUUGGGGGGAAAAUUGUUGUGGGCUUUUUGUAUAGUCUGCUCCCCUGAAAUUGAUUAGCGGUACCUUUGUGGAACUGUCUACAGGUGUGAUAAUUAUCUACAUCUUAGACAUCUGCUGGAAUGCUGCUUUCUAAACCUUACUUGUAUUGACAAUCUUGACCUCAAAUCAGGUAGGACUACCCGCUGAACUUAAGCAUAACAAUAAGCGGAGGA